rnacentral:rRNA from 1 species
UGGGGGAUAUUGCACAAUGGGGGGAACCCUGAUGCAGCGACGCCGCGUGGGUGAAGGAGUAUUUCGGUAUGUAAAGCCCUAUCGGCAGGGAAGAAUUUAGACGGUACCUGACUAAGAAGCCCCGGCUAACUACGUGCC